CGGGUGAGUAACACGUGGAUAACCUACCUAUAAGACUGGGAUAACUUCGGGAAACCGGAGCUAAUACCGGAUAAUAUUUUGAACCGCAUGGUUCAAAAGUGAAAGACGGUCUUGCUGUCACUUAUAGAUGGAUCCGCGCUGCAUUAGCUAGUUGGUAAGGUAACGGCUUACCAAGGCAACGAUGCAUAGCCGACCUGAGAGGGUGAUCGGCCACACUGGAACUGAGACACGGUCCAGACUCCUCGGGAGGCAGCAGC
rnacentral:rRNA from 1 species